UUUUGUUUCACAGUUCAACACCUCCACCGGCAGCCGGCCCGAGCAGGCGGUAGUUCUUUGCGCUUUCGAGUGUCAAUGUCAAUGGCGUUUGUAAGCGUUUGUAACGAAAACAGAUUCCUUACUGGGUUAACUUUUGUGUGCUUAUUUAAUGGGUUCGUUGCGGUUCGGUUUUGCAAUUCCAAUUGACAAACGUAAAAAACUUAAAAUGAAACAAAAAUAGUGACGGUGGCGAAGGGCGCAAGCAGCACAUUUUCCCCAGAGAUUAACAAUUUGUUUGAAAAUCCUGAAAUCGAUUGCACCGACACGGUGACCGAGAUCAUUUUGUAAUCAAAUUGAAAAUAUCAAAUAAAAUAAAAUUGGAAAAUCGAAAAUAAA